UUGAGAGAAGAGCAUACACAGAGAGAGAAAACGGGAGAGGAAGGAAGCCGCAUCACGGGGGCGGCCACAUCGAAGGUUUCCGCGGCGGAAGUCGCCGGCAACGAGAUGCUCGGCGAUCCCGGCGCCCCUCCAGAGUCCUCGCGCCCUGCUGGUGAGCUAGGGGAUAUAUGGUGCGAAUCUAGAUUCUGGGAUGGAGUUUGCAAAUGGAGAUGACGAUUUUUGGCACAUACAUGUUGUGCAAAUGCACUUGAAGAUAGCAAGGUGCAGGUGGCAGGUUCCAGCGACGGCGCCACUACCCCUGCUCGACGCGACCCCUUGCGGUGGCUGGCCUUGUUUGGCAGCCAUCCGGCGGCUGCUGCUCUGCGCUGGCCGGUGCUUCCCUACAUCGACGGUGACGACACGUGGUUUCCCUCUCGGUGCUGACGGUCCUCUCCGGCGGUCUGCUUCCCCGUCUCCUGCCUGCUCUACUUCGGCGGUAUUUGGGGUUCUGGUCUUGGGCCGGGGCGAAAUCCCUGCGCAGCGAUGACCUGCGCUGACAACGGCGACACCUGAGAGUGCCGUAACCUCCACAGAGGCGCUGUCAUGGCCCAGACUGACCCUCUCCUCGAGCACCGGGGGAAACCCUUGGUCCAGUUCAUUGGACAAGGCAGCGGCGGCGUCUCAGCGCCAUUCCCUUCUUGAAGGCGUUGCUUGGGUCGCACUUGGAGUCCCCGAUGCGGCAACUGGAGAUGGUGGCCUCCCCGGUCUUCCGGCGAGGCUUGCUGGUAAUGCAAUGCUGUGAUGAGUGCUUCAGCAUAGAGCGUGGGCGUCCGGGGCGCUAUGUACGCCGGCGCCGGCAUGUCCAAGACGAUGGCUUCACUAGUCCUGGUUGGGUCCUGCCAUCCACCUGCCGUCUCCUAGGCACUUAUGGGUGGAAGGUACGUUGGCCUGGACAGCCCUGGAGAUGCGAUCUUCUUUGGAGGCGCCUGGCAACGGCUGUGAUGUGGCCUUGAGGCUCUGAGUCUAGUUACCUCACCGUUCAUGGUUGGAGGCUGGACAAGGCUAAACCUUUCGUAGUUGCAGUCUGUAGUUGGUAGCACCUCCUCGCCUGCUCGUUUGGUGAGGACGAUGAUGUGUGUGCGUGUGUCCCUCCUCUUGGGAGGUUGUACCUGUACUACUGUUCUCUUCCUGUUCAAUGAAAUGAAACGCAAAC